CCUCACCUACGGGGCGCAGCAGUAGGGAAUAUUGCUCAAUGGGGGAAACCCUGAAGCAGCAACGCCGCGUGGAGGAUGAAGGUUUUCGGAUUGUAAACUCCUUUUGUUAGAGAAGAUAAUGACGGUAUCUAACGAAUAAGCACCGGCUAACUCCGUGCCAGCAGCCGCGGUAAUACGGAGGGUGCAAGCGUUACUCGAAAUCACUGGUCGUAAAGAUCGCGUAGGCGGGAUAGCAAGUCAGAUGUGAAAUCCUAUGGCUUAACCAUAGAACUGCAUUUGAAACUGUUAUUCUAGAGUAUGGGAGG
rnacentral:rRNA from 1 species